ACACUUAGAACCGAACGGUGCGUUUUGAGUUAAAUAUUAAUUGUCCACACAUAUUACACACAACACGUGCUGCUCACUCGCUGUUGACACAACACGCGCUGCCCACUCGCUGCUCCCACCACACAUGCUGCUCACAGAACACAACUCAGAAAUUGACUUGCAGCUUGAAUCACCACAAGCCGAUUCUCCCUCUCUCUCCCCUUCGUCGAUUGCAUCUCCCACAUCACUAAAAGGCGUCUUUAUUUGGCUGAAUAAGCAAACAGUCAGAUAUAUUUUGGGUUGCAACUUUGGCUUUGGUUAACAAUCAGCAGAAGAUCAAGCUGUUCGUAUGCAACAUAUCAUGUGCCAGGUUAAGUGUUAAUCUUAAAUGAUUGCUCAAGGGCG
rnacentral:lncRNA from 1 species